rnacentral:rRNA from 1 species
UACGUAGGGGGCAAGCGUUGUCCGGAAUCAUUGGGCGUAAAGCGCGCGUAGGCGGCCCGGUAAGUCCGUUGUGAAAGUCAAAGGCUCAACCUUUGAACGCCGAUGGAUACUGCCGGGCUAGAGUCCGGAAGAGGCGAGUGGAAUUCCUGGUGUAGCGGUGAAAUGCGCAGAUAUCAGGAGGAACACCAGUGGCGAAGGCGGCUCACUGGACCGGAACUGACGCUGAGGCGCGAAAGCGUGGGGAGCAAACAGG